GCGCGAGUGGCGAAAUUGGCAGACGCGCUGGAUUUAGGUUCCAGUGUCUUCGGACGUGCGGGUUCAAGUCCCGCCUUGCGCACCA
rnacentral:tRNA from 6 species